AAGAUUUUAAGUGUGGUAAAAUAAAAUAUAAAUAAAAUUAUAUAAAUUAAUAAUAAAAAACAAAAUUUAUUGUGAUUGCUUUAAUUUUAAUUACAAGUGUUAUUUGAAUUGUUAAGCAAACAUGAAAAGUGUUAGCAAAAGGCAUAUGAGGAGGCUUUUUAAAAAGGAAAGAACUUUAUAUUCCAACAAACUACUGUUGUGCAUGGAUAUAAAUUUGGAUGGAAUUCAUGGUAAAAGAAGGUUAAAAGACUUCGAGCCUUUUUUCACACCUUGACAGAUGUCUGUCGAUCACUUCGGUCUCAAGAUGUUGAAAAGGACAUAGGAAACGCCUUAAAAAUUGUUACGAACCGGGGAUAUGGCGAGGUUUCCGACUAGCUGACAUGACUGACCUCAGGUGGUCCCAACCCUUUCUCGUCAUAUACGUUCCAUACACAAAAACAAAAAAAGAGACAGAUGAUUUGCUCUUUAGAUGCCCUCCCAACCUUGUCGCUAUUGUGUCCACAAUAAUCAUUUUUUUUAGCGACCCGAAAUCCACCUGACCCCGUUAUCCACUUACCAGUCUAUCAUUGCCAUUACCAUCAGUUAAUUAAGCCAACAUCGAGCUCCCUGAGUCGUGCAUUUCUAUAACCUUCUCACUGUUUGCAGGCCUUUAUUCACGCGCUUUUCUUAAGCUCUGGUAAUGUGUUGGCUAACCUAAGUGAAUUGUUUAACUAAUAAUACAUAAUUAAAAAUAUUUUUUAUUAAUAAAUAUUAGUAUAUAAUACUGAUAAAUCACCAA